UGACAGUCAUUGUAACCCCGCUGCCUUCGCCAAGUUGCUUGGAAACUCAAAUAAGCUGACGGCAAAAAGAGCCGCCCUCCUCUUUAACCCUUUCUUCUGUAUUCUUUUUUCUUUUGCCUUUUCAUUCUUUUGGUGGCUCUGGAGCCGCGUCUACCUAUUCCCAGGUACUCUCUCUCUCUCUCUCUAUCUNUNNUCNUCUCUCUCAUCAUGCUCAUCGUCAGUNNNNNNNNNNNNNNNNNNNNNNNNNUCUCUCUCUUCUCUCUCUCCUCUCUCUCUCUCUCUCUCUCUCUCUCUCUCUCUCUCUCUCUCUCUCUCUCUCUCUCUCUCUCUCUCUCUCUCUCUCUCUCUCUCUCUCUCUCUCUCUCUCUCUCUCUCUCUCUCUCUUUCCUUUGACUCUUUGCUCUUUGUGGUGACCUCUGCUACUUUUGUUUUUUUCUUGAUGAAUCACUAGUUAAUGAUGGUCUACUGGGAUUUUCUUGAAUUUUUCUGUAAUGUGAGUUGCCGUUGAUCUUUUCUUGGUUGGUAUGGUGAGUGUUUUCUAUGUUAUUUCCUUUUCUUUUCACGGUCAUGCUGUUUUUUUUAAUCCUAUUGAAUUAAUGGUGUAAGAAUAUUUGGAAUUGAUGAUUUAGAAUGUGAGAUGUUGUCUAUUUUUUCCUGAAUCUGAUAAAGAUUAGUAGAGGCAUUUCUUCUGUUCUGUGUCAUGAAACUUUUUGAACUUUUAAAGACUAGACUCUACUCACUAGCUCCUACAGUACUAAUUAGGUAAAAUGCCUUGAAAUGUUUAUAUUAUUAAAUCGAUGUGAAUUUACACACUAGUUUUUGUCAUUCAGAAAAUAACAUUUAUUAAGGUCUUAUGAUAAAUUUUCUGCUUUGGAUUUCUGAAAAUGCUUUUCCGUUGAUGUCUUUUAAAGGUUGUAGGGGGUUUAUUAUUCUUGUUUGAUAGUAAAAAGAAAAAGAAAGAAGUAACCAAUCUUCUUGUCUUGCUAUAAAACACAAGAUGUGCUCGUAGGUAGUUGACAUGUGACACCGGACAAGUCUAUGACAACAUAAGUUUUGCUCUCUAUUGCCUCAACAUGCUGCUACGGAGUAUUCUCUUUUCCCAGUACUGAGCCUGUAAUUAUUAUAAGUGAGUCAUACAGUUGUGGCAGUUCCCAGCUUUUUUGUAAGUUUAGUCCUCCUAUUUUAGAUAUGUAUGAAUUGCUGGUUGUUUCAACCUUUCUGUCUUUCUACUUUCCCCUUGAAGUCUACUGUAAUCGUGAUGGUCGCGCAUUUCAAGACUU
rnacentral:lncRNA from 1 species